GACGAACGCUGGCGGCGUGGAUUAGGCAUGCAAGUCGAACGGUAGUAUUUCUUUCGGGAGAUAUGAGAGUGGCGAACGGGUGAGUAACGCGUAGGUGAUCUACCUUCAAGUGGGGGACAACCCAGGGAAACUUGGGCUAAUACCGCAUGUGCCUGAAAAGGUAAAGCCGGCCUCUGAAUAUGCUGGUGCUUGGAGCUGAGCCUGCGUCUGAUUAGCUAGUUGGUGGGGUAACGGCCUACCGAGGCGAUGAUAAGUAGGCGGCUUUAACGAGUGGUCGCCCACACUGGGAUUGAGAUACGGCCCAGACUCCUACGGGAGGCAG
rnacentral:rRNA from 1 species